rnacentral:rRNA from 1 species
AGUUGUUAGACAUCGGCGUAAAGAGUGGUUAAGAUGUUCUAAAAAACUAAAGCCGAACGCCCUCAUAGCUGUUAUACGCUUCCGAAGGUAAGAAGCCCAACUACGAAAGUGGCUUUAUUCAAUCUGAAUCCACGAAAGCUAGGGUACAAACUGGGAUUAGAUACCCCACUAUGCCUAGCCCUAAACAUUGACAGUAUUUUACAUCGACUGUCCGCCUGGGAACUACGAGCACCAGCUUAAAACCCAAAGGACUUGGCGGUGCUUUAGACCCCCCUAGAGGAGCCUGUCCUAGAACCGAUAAUCCCCGUUAAACCUCACCCUUCCUUGUUCUUUCCGCCUAUAUACCACCGUCGCCAGCCUACCCUGUGAAGGAUUCAAAUAGUGGGCAUAACCGGUACAACCCCAAACGUCAGGUCGAGGUGUAGCGUAUGGAAGGGGAUGAGAUGGGCUACAUUCACUGAGACAGUGAAUACGAAUGAUCGCUCUGAAACGAGCAUCUGAAGGAGGAUUUAGCAGUAAGCAAAAAGCAGAGUGUUUUGCUGAAGUUGGCUCUGAAGCGUGCACACACCGCCCGUCACUCUCCCCGAAUUAACUCGGAUUAUACCUAAUACCCCACAAAAAUCAAGG